AACGAACGCUGGCGGCAUGCCUAACACAUGCAAGUCGAACGAGACCUUCGGGUCUAGUGGCGCACGGGUGCGUAACGCGUGGGAACCUGCCCUUAGGUUCGGAAUAACUCCCCGAAAGGGGUGCUAAUACCGGAUAAUGUCUUCGGACCAAAGAUUUAUCGCCUUUGGAUGGGCCCGCGUUGGAUUAGCUAGUUGGUAGGGUAAAAGCCUACCAAGGCGACAAUCCAUAGCUGGUCUGAGAGGAUGAUCAGUCACACUGGGACUGAGACACGGCCCAGACUCCUACGGGAGGCAGCAGUGGGGAAUAUUGGACAAUGGGCGAAAGCCUGAUCCAGCAAUGCCGCGUGAGUGAUGAAGGCCUUAGGGUUGUAAAGCUCUUUUACCCGGGAUGAUAAUGACAGUACCGGGAGAAUAAGCUCCGGCUAACUCCGUG
rnacentral:rRNA from 1 species